rnacentral:ncRNA from 1 species
GAAAACUUGGUUCUAGUUUCUUCCUUAGUCCUGUCACGUCUGCCACAUGCAAGAAAAACCCAUCCCAGCGGAGAAUAUCUACGUAGAAACAAAGAAAAAUCGCAUAAGUUACAAAACAGAAGCCAAAAAAUACCGCGGUCAGCAGUGCUUAACCUUAUACAAUUCAGGAAACUGAGAUAUAGAUAGUGACAACAAGAAGGGGCCAAUACCGUGCCAGCAGCCGCGGUUAUACGUUACCUUCAAAUUAAGAAAAGCCGGUGCAAAGAAGGAGAGGCACAAAAACCCCGUGGUGAAGAAUAAAUAGCAGUAACAAGCUCAAACAAACCCUAAACAACGAAAAUGCCCACCCACAAAGAAGAGAGAUAAACUAGGAUUAGAUACCCUACUAUACUCUUCCCACAACAAGAGACACCAGAGCAGUACGGUCAACUAAAACUUAAAGAACUUGGCGGUUUUCUAGAUCUCCUUGGAGGAGCUUGUCAUCGAAUUGAUAACCCACAAGACACCUCACCAACUCAAGACUUAUCAGCUUGUAUACCAUCGUCGUCAGCUCACAUCAAAAGAGAGUAAGCCAAAUGGAAAAUACCCACAACGUCAGAUCAAGGUGCAGCUAAUGAGCUGGGGAUAGAUGAGCUACUUUAUUCACAAAACAGAGGAAGUAACCAUGAAAAACUUACCGAAAAAGGAUUCAACAGUAACAAAGUAAAUAAAAACUUUGUGAACCAAGCUCUAGAAUGCGCACACAUCGCCCGUCACUCUCCUCGUUAGAGGAGAAAAGUCGUAACAUAGUAGGUGUACCGGAAGGUGCCACCUGGAACUA